UACAGAGGGUGCAAGCGUUGUCCGGAAUCACUGGGCGUAAAGGGCGCGUAGGCGGCCUGAUAAGUCGGGGGUGAAAUUCUGCGGCUUAACCGCAGGACGGCCUUCGAGACUGUCGGGCUUGAGCACGGUAGAGGCUGGUGGAAUUCCCGGUGUAGCGGUGGAAUGCGUAGAGAUCGGGAAGAACAUCGGUGGCGAAGGCAGCACUCUGGGACGUGACUGACGCUGAGACGCGAAAGCGUGGGGAGCAAACAGGG
rnacentral:rRNA from 1 species